GACGAACGCUGGCGGCGUGCCUAAUACAUGCAAGUAGAACGCUGAAGGAGGAGCUUGCUUCUCUGGAUGAGUUGCGAACGGGUGAGUAACGCGUAGGUAACCUGCCUGGUAGCGGGGGAUAACUAUUGGAAACGAUAGCUAAUCCCGCAUAAGAGUAGAUGUUGCAUGACAUUUGCUUAAAAGGUGCAAUUGCAUCACUACCAGAUGGACCUGCGUUGUAUUAGCUAGUUGGUGGGGUAACGGCUCACCAAGGCGACGAUACAUAGCCGACCUGAGAGGGUGAUCGGCCACACUGGGACUGAGACACGGCCCAGACUCCUACGGGAGGCAGCAGUAGGGAAUCUUCGGCAAUGGACGGAAGUCUGACCGAGCAACGCCGCGUGAGUGAAGAAGGUUUUCGGAUCGUAAAGCUCUGCUGUAAGAGGAGAACGAGUGUGAGAGUUU
rnacentral:rRNA from 1 species